UACGUAGGGAGCAAGCGUUAUCCGGAAUUAUUGGGCGUAAAGAGCUCGUAGGCGGUUUGUCGCGUCUGCUGUGAAAUACCGGGGCUCAACUCCGGUUCUGCAGUGGGUACGGGCAGACUAGAGUGAUGUAGGGGAGACUGGAAUUCCUGGUGUAGCGGUGAAAUGCGCAGAUAUCAGGAGGAACACCGAUGGCGAAGGCAGGUCUCUGGGCAUUAACUGACGCUGAGGAGCGAAAGCAUGGGGAGCGAACAGG
rnacentral:rRNA from 1 species